CCGACUUUUGCCCACUGCUUACGACGAACGUGCUUAAAAAUAUGUAAGGGUGGGACCAUCGGGUUAGCGGCUGAUGGUUGAGCUGGGUGUCGCCUGGACUCGUUGGGUUUGGGUUUCGAAUGUGUUCUCGAGAAACGGAAGGGAGGAUGAUACGGGGAGUGUACCAGCGACCAGUGGUGAAAACGGCUGGGUGGAGUUAAUUAAUCUGGAAGUCCCCUCCGGUCUCUCUUACUGUGGUUAAACCUGGGCAUUGCUUGCCAAAAAUAGCAAAAGAAAAGUUUUACCGUCUCCCUCCACCUUCUCAUCCUUUCUCUUAAGCCGGACGAGGGAUUCAAGGGAUUCUCGCUCUUUCCCUUCCUCCUCUUCCUCCUCCUCCUCUUUCUCGCUCCCUCCCUCCUCUUUUUUUUUUUUGAGUUCAUACCGAACGGAUCUGAAAAGUAGUUUCGAAGAUUUCUAUGAAAAGAUGGUGGAUUUUGUUCGAUUUUUCUUGGCUUUCGCUGUCUAUUUUCUUGAUCUCCCGAGUGAAACGAUUUCGUUUUAAGGAGUCACCGGUUGUUUUUUCUUAAGAUCUUCGGGCUCUGGGAGUAAGAGCGCUCGUUCCAAUCUCUUUUUAUAGAUUUCCGGUUCUAGAAAUUUCGUCUGGUGUUUUCGCAUAUUUCAUCUGGAUUUCGAUCUUCGUAACUCUUCUUUUGCUUUUCUUUGUUUUUUUCUUUAAUUAUUCGGCCAGCCUUGUUACAUUUUAAACAUCAAAUCUUCAUCUCCUUUGUUUGCUUUUCUUUGCCCCAUCUUGAUCUGCGCUGGAGUGGUUGAAUCGUCUUCGGGAGGAUCUGAGAGGGAAGGACGUAAAGAUAUGGUUGCUUGAAUAGAAAAGGUGACGGGCGGGUUGGUGCUUUGGCCGGCGUGGUUGGCUGACAACGAGAGAGAGCACGCCGGUCCGCUGUCAUGCAAGGUGCCAUGGCUAUGUACUAGCGUGCUAUUUCUCGUUGUCAGCUCAGUUCUCCCCACAAAGCAUCUCCUCGACUCCUUAAUAUGCUGCUCCCAAGAAGAUGAAGAUUAACUCAAAUCAAGGUCAUGUGUCUCCUAUAGCAGAAGAUUAUAGAUACCAAAAUGUGUGAAUCAUGGCACAUGGAAGCGAUCAGUCCAUAUUUUAUGGAAGGUAGCUUUGAAGUGUUCUGCAUGAAGAUUUCUGCAAUUUGAGGUUUAUUUUAUAUGACUUGAUUGGCUGAUUCUGGAAAAUAAAUGUCAAAUUUGAUUUUGCAUAUGCUUCUUGGAGCUAACUGUUGCUCUUAAUGGCUUCAAAGAUGGAAUGCCUUGAUUCUGCUAGUGAAUGUAUGAGAAGCUCUCUAAUUUAUUAUUUUGAGAUUGCUUCAGAUUAACUUGGUGCUCGAGAUCAAGAACUUGUUAUUAACAGAAAGCGUAAUGAGCUAUUUUCUGUAUUAUCAGUGAUUAUUAUUUACUUGUUGCUGACAUGAUAGUGCUUCGCAUAGAUUCAAAAAAAUAUUGGAACAAGAAAGUAUUAUAUUGUUCUAGUACAAAACCGCAUAAGUAUGGGUGUCGGGAUGCCCAACACGAUGUUCCAGUAUGUGCGAGCUGUAUUGGUGCAUACCUCUGCAUAUUGAUGGUAUCAUAAGAUCAUAUGCUAGUGCUUAUCUUCAGCUUUUUAUUUUUAUUAAAGCUGUCAAUUUUAUUACCUGUCAUUGAUAGAGGUACCAUAUUGAUACUCUGUUAUUUUCAUGAAAAAAUAGUAUCGAUUUUGCAAUGAUAUUUAAAAUCUUGGUGUUUUCUGUCAUUAUAAUUUGUCUUCUCUUUAGCUGAUAGUUUGAUAAGUUGGAUCAUUUUAUUUGUUACCACAUCUCCCUUAUUUCAUGAUUAUAUGUACACUCGCAAUAAUCACUCUAUCUUGUUAAUGUUUUUCAUGGAUGUUUCAUUUAUACUGUCUUGCCACUAUUAUGUGAUGUACCAUCUCUAUUGAUGAAGUAUGUCAUAAAUGUCGAAUAAGCUUACUAGAAUAUCUUUUAUUUUCAUUAACAUCAGAUAGAAAAUCAUGGUAUACAUCAGAAGAUUUUGCAGUCGGUUAGUUAACAAGAGGUAAUAAGUGGAACUUUAGAGACAAGAUCCAAGGGAAGAUAUAUCUUCACUUUUGGCAACACAUGGAAACCAACACGAUUUGCCCUCUUAUUGAUCCUGAAAUUUAAUGCUCAUGUAUAUUGGAUGUUUGAAUUUAGUGGAGCUGAAUCCAUCAAUACUUUAUCUUUUAUUUAUUUCUUUGGUUAUUUGUUGUAUUGCAGACUUAUUGGUUGUUCCACUUUAAUGUUUUUGAGCAAACACCUUAAAUUAACAUGGAACAUAACUAUUUUCUGUAUAAAAAAAGGAAAAAAGUUAAUCCAAUUAUAAUAGGUUGUAGUGCUCUCACAACACGAGUUCAUUACUCUGGUUAUAGAAAAUGCUUCCUGAAUGUUGGAUCUAUCACUCAUAGUUAGACACAAUAGCAUUUGUAGGUGAUUAGUCAUCCAGACACCAAAAAUAAUUGACACGUAUACCAUUAUUAAUAAAAUUAGUUAUAUAGAAUUCAUGGUUUUCAUAUCCAUUUUGUUCUUUGGCAUAUAUGAUUGUUUGUAAAUCAAAAUGCAUUGAAGAAGGCUGCUUCAUCAACUACUUCUAUAUUUCGUAGACUUAGAAGUUAGGACAACACAUCUACUUAUCAAGAUAGAUUUAAAAUAAUAUCGAAUAAAUACUCAUAAGAGUUGAAAAGUUCCAAACGUUAUCUAAGUGCAUAUGUAAUUUAGCAUCCAUGCUUAGUUUCUAUUAGUAUUAGUAUAAGCUUCAAACUUCCUAAAACAAUCAAAUUGGUUGAACUACAGAUUAAAAUUGACUAAAACUAGUUAAAAUCUGAAACUGGGAGUUUUGUUUGGCUAGGAAGAGAAAAGGGGAAAAAACUAAGUAGAAAAUAUAUGUAUCCCUUUCAAAACAAAAGCAAAAUAAAAGGGGAGGGCAACAGGACCAAACGAAGGUAGUUCCUUGUGAUACGGUGCAAUUCCUCCAUUUAAAUGCAUGAGUUUUCUUUUACUUCUCUUUUCCUGCAACUAGUGCUUUAAAUCCUUCUCAAUUUAAUGUUGGAUGAGGACAAUGCCAGCAUAUGGAAAGGCUUUUCUUGAUUGAUUUUAGAUCGAUUUUGAGGCUCCCUAGAGUCCUUAUUGUAGGGAAAGGUUAGGAGAAGGGGGAAUCAGAGCCUUACCUUCACUCUAGUGGGGAUUGUAGCUAUAAUUCUAAAGAGAACAAUGACCUUAGGCGAAUGGCACUUAAGAAGAAGAAGAAAAAGAGGAAAAAGAGAUAGGAAGGGAUGUUUUUCCUUUUUUAGAAGAGGAAGGAGAGAUCGGGGUUGCUAGAGAUUGUGCUAGGGGGCAUAGUCAUCAGUCGAUGGCGGUGAUCGAUCGGCAAAAAAAUAAAGAAAAAUGGAUUGAAAAAAUAUGAGAUUUUCUAGGCAUUGUUUUGGGUAUUCAUACAUUUAUCGAUAGCCAUGUUCCAUUAUGUGGUCAUUGAGAGACCUACGAGGGAAUCGGCCAAGGGCUCCUCAAUUGAAACAAGAGAUGGAACAGAGGCAUUUUCAAAUAAAUUUUUGGUACAUUCCUCGACUAAUAGCGGUGUUUCAAAGCUUAAGAAGGGAGAGAAAAACAAAGAAAAGAGAGUCGGGGCUUUAUUUUGGCUUCGGUGAGCAAUACAGCCCUGAUUUUUUAUGGCCACAAUAAUGGGAGGUGUCAAACUUUUGUAGGAAAAAGAGAGGGAAAGAAGGGUUGUUCUUGGUGGUGGAGAAUCAUGGAGGGGUGAAGAGGUGUUCUUAUAAAGAAGGCUAAAGUUUUCAAUGGCUCUAAGACUCUGGACUUUCCAAAAAGAUCAGGAAAAAGAAGACUCCCAUUGGGAGUGUUUUGCUAUCCUUCAUAUGUGAACCAUGCACAGGGCUGCAAGUUGGGCCAAGUCUAGGUCAAAUCGAUAAGUGGGUCAAAUCCUAACCAGGCCAUCACAACUUAUGUUAGAGGAUGUUCGACAUAUUUUGGUGGAGUAGAUGAUGAAUGUGAGAGCCUUUUCUAGGAUUUGCGUCAAUUUUUUGACAGGAGAUUAAUGCACACCAAGUUUCUAAAUUUUAUCCAGUGCUAUAAUAUCACCAAUUUUAAAGCUCCAGAUAGUCCAUGUCCUAACAUAUAGUUUAGUUAAUGUUUAAAGAGUCUACAUCAUCAAAUUACUGUAGAACAACUAUGAGGAUUCUAUUCAUGGAUAUUAUUGCUGGUAUUAUAGCAGGGAAACUAUUCUAUAGUAGUAACUAAUACGGGCAUUAUGCCUUUUAGGUUUUUUCUUCUUGUGGUCUAAUUAUUAUCUACAAUUUAUCUUUACUUCAAGUAUCAAGAUUUAAUGUUGUUAGGGUUUUGACUUUUUUGAGUUUAUACAAAGGUUAUAAUUGUCACUUUUAAGGAGUGAUUUUUUUAGAUGAUUUAAUUCAAAAAAGAAGAAAGCUAAUGUUUGAUUUUCUCUCCUUCUUAAUCUUUCUCCCUUCUUCAUUCCUCUAGUUUUUCUCUCUUUGUUCUGCAUUCUACUCUUCUCAUAUUAUCUGAUUUUUCUACUUUUAUUUAUCUUAGUUAUUUACUGAACUUUUAUUUGAUUAUAUUUUGAUUUAUUUUCCAUUUGUUUGGUAUGACUUUGAUCUCUUAAGACCAAUAGAAAUCUUGCCAUCCAUUAUUAGCCCUAGAGCAUGCUUUAGAAGCCUUGUUUCUGUUUAUGAAACUUUACAAGCUUUUGAUAAAAUUCCAAUAAUUUGCUUUAGGCUUUGCUAUUGUUCGUAUCGUGCCCUAAGCCCAAAUGUCCAACAUCAGCAUGUUUGCUAGGUGGGAGUCUAGUGAUAUUGUCUCAACUAGGGAUUAUUAUACCCUCUUAUGUCAUAUUGGGUGGAAACUAGUACAAUACUUAAGUUUAGAUUAGUAUAGGCCUUGUUGUACCCUGUACCUCUCCAUAUAGAGGUGUACUGAGGUAUGCAUCAAUCCGUACCAAGGCAUAUUGAAAAGGUGAAAAAAAUUGGUGGAAGAUUAUUUUGGUAUCGAUUGUGUACAAUAUUGUACCAGACUAAUAAAGUACUGAUAUGGUACCAUUAUCGAGAUUAUGGAACUUGGUCUCGAUCUUCAAUCAAGGUUCGCUUACAUACUAUCUAUUACUAGAUGUACCCUAUUAUAGUGGUACUGAACUAAGACUCAAUACAAGGGAUGUAUGUCUAGAAUAUAUCAAUGUUUGUGCAAGGUCUAAAACUGCUAUUUCAUGUGCACUUCACCAUUCAUAUCAAUGUUGCAUAAAAGAGUAGAAAAAUAGGCAUAUCUAAAAGUAGUGUGGAAGAGGUGGUGCUUGUAUAUAAAUAUACACCCAAAGUACCUUAAAGAGUUCCAAUCUUCGAAUAAUAUUAAUACUAAUCACACCUAUAUCUAAUUUAAUAAAAAUUUUCAAUAAGGUAAUAAUAUCUUUAUUCAAGUAUGGCACAAAUAAAAGGAACAUUGCUUUAGCUAACGAAGAAGCCAAAUGGGUUAAUCAAUGAUAGUAAAGCAGCAUGAUGUAAGGCAUCAAUGGUCCCACAAUUGCAGGUCACAAAAUUCUUUACUUAUGUUCUUUUCUUCGUUCCUUUUAUUAGUUGUUGCUAGAGUUUUAUGCUUAUCCUCUAUGCUUUCUUCUUUCAGAAUCCUUAUUUCAUUAAUCAAGAAGAUUGAUUCCAAUGUUUAAGUAUUUAUCUAAUUUAUGUACCAUAUUUUAUUAUAGUUAUAUGUUAUCUCACCAAUGUUUUGUAUGAUGAAUAAGAUAUGCUCAGCUAGUUGCUUGGGCUCUCUUUCUGUCACUGUAAUCAAUAUGGUUAGUUUUUGUUAUUGCUGUGCCUCUGCCUUCUAUAUUUUCUUCAGAGUUCCAAUAUGAUAUCAUACUAACCCUUCAUUUUUUUUACAAAGAGUAUAUUUUUUAUUUUUAUGAUGUUUGAAAUCUUUUUUCUUUUGUUAGUUUUGAUAUCUAUGUGCAAAUUCUUAACUAAGCUAUAUGCAGAUACAUUGCUAGUGUUUCUUAUUGUAUUGGGGAAGCUAAGAUCUGCCUCUAAAUUGACUGCUAUUUUAUAUUUAGUACUUGUUGACCAAAAAUUUUAUUUCUCGACCAUUGUUUUGAUGGCCAUUUUAUGUUUAAUCCAUGGCUGGUGUAUAAGUAUGAGGCUAAAUCAUCAAAUAGAUAUUAGAAAAAUGACUGGUAUAAUGUUUCUCCAUUAUAUUAUCUUUUGUUUAACCCUAUCUGCCUUACUAACACAUCCAUGAUGGUGAUGGCUACUAGGUCUUCCACUAUUGAGUUUGUCAAGAAGUAAUCUUUUGAAGUUAUUUUUCUACAUAACUUGUUUGAUAGGUUUCGAUUGCAUAAAUGAGUCACCUAAUUAUAAUUAAUUCUCAUGAUUCCAUAAUUUUCUAUUCUUUUGAUAGUGUAUUCUCAGUUUUGAUUGUUCAGAGUGAUCAAAAUAUCUUUUUGUUCCUUCGAUGAGCAAAUAAUUGUUUGUUCACAAACUAAACAUGGGUAUUUUCAUUUUUCCUCCUGACUUUUUGGAGUAGAUGUUCAUAUUUUUUGUUACUUAUAAUACUCAAGUUAGGUAUUCAACUCGCUUACUUUUUUUCUCUUUUAUAGGAUGACCACUUCUUUUGCUAACCACAUGUAUAACCACAUGGUCUGCCAUCUAUGAUGCUAUAGAAUUGUUUUGGUUUAAUGGAUUGGCAGGUCGGAAUCUAAUCAAAGGUUUCUUUAAGGUUUACCAUACCAAAAGAGAUCAGUUGUAUCUCCAUUUUUUUAAUUUUUUUAUCGUGGAUGCAGUAUUCAGUCCUUGAAUAACUACGACCAUUAGAAUUCGUAUAAGAAGUUUAAUCCUCUGGUAUGAAGCAUAGAUUAGAGGAAGGAUGGAUAGAAGAAGGAUAGAUGAAGAAGAGGAUGGAUGGAAAGAGAAUAAAGAAGAGGAUGGAUGAAGAAGAGGAUGGAUGGAAAGAGAAUGAAGAAGAGGAUGGAUGGAAAGAGAAUGAAAAAGUAUGCUUGAUUAAGAACAAACUAAUUUGCGCUGAUCUAUAUUAACUACUUGUUUCUUUUUACCAAAAUCAUUUGCCACUUGUAUGCCAAUUGUUACAGCCAAAAUUUCUCUGCUUAUAAGCUCCACCACAUUAUCAAUAUACGAAGAACUCGAAGCCUUCUUUUGAGCACUGUCCCUAUCCUCACCUAGAAUAGCUGCAGUCCACAAUGAAUGUUUUCAUUCAAUUCAGUUGUAUUAGUUGGAUCUUCAUUCAUCUCCGAGACUUGUGAAGAAGUUGGACUGCUAAUAAACAAAUUUGUACAUGUUAUAAGGACUCAACUAUGAAUGACUUUACAUCAUAUUUAUAAUGUUCAACUUCCAUCAUGUAUGCUUCCAGUUUCACAAGGAAAAUUCGGAUAACUAGUAAAACUUGCCUGUUCUUAGAAAAAUUAGUAAAACCUACUAUUAUACUAACGAAUAACACAAUAUUUGAGGUGCAGCUCCUGGCUUACUUAACCUAGCUAUCCAAAGUAACCACCUUCCAUAUUAAUUUAAUCCUUUGUGAUUAUCACUCCACAUGUAUCACAGUUGCACAAUCUUGGGUAUAUUGGAUAAACUAUCUCUUGCUGCCUCUCAUGGUUUCAAGGAAGUCAAUUUGCUUUUUUAUUGUUAUUUUUAUUUAUUUAUUCUUUUUUUUUCUGCAUUGAGAAUGCAAGAUAAUUGCUUAGUAUUGUCAUUACAUUUAGAUACUGGCAAACAUAAUAUACAAACUUUGUCGGUGGCAACCUGAGAAAGUGACAUGAUAUUGUUAAUGUGUUAGGUUGAGAAGAAAAUGGUCUUAAUCUAUGUACAGCUCAAUCUCCAUCAUUACAACAUGCUAAAAUUUCAUUGCUUUCUAAAUAAAUAAUCUCAUAUUACCGUAUCUUCUAGAAAAUAAGGAUGUAAUUUUAUCAUUAGGAGGUAUCUUUAUAUACUCUCACAUUUAACUCAUAUGUACUUAACACUGUCCCUUAGCAGUAACAUAUUUGUUACCUUUCUCCAUUUUCAUAUGCAUGUUCGUUAUGUGAGCAAUUGUUCUUAUGAUCUGCAUCCUUGCAGAACUUAAGCUUUACCUUGUGAGUGUUUUUUAUGCCUUCAUUUGGUCAUAGCUAUUACUUCAUCAUCAUAUAGUUUAAUGUCUAAUUACAAUGCUGGUUGGCCAAAGUAGUCAAUUAUGUUUUCUUUAAUGCUUCAUAGUUAUAUAUCUAAUUUCAAAUACUAUUUAUGUGAUAACUAAAUUUUGUGAUCAUAUCAAAAAAAAGAAAGUAAGAUAGGAAUUUGAUUUUCAAAAAUGUCAUACCUUUUUAAUUGUAAGAAAGUUAGAUGAGAACUCUUAGGACCUCACUCGAAGCAGUUAUCUGAGACUUAGCAAUCAAAAAAUUUAUACAUGUAGCAGAGGAGAAAAUAUUGAUAGAACAUGUGGCUUUGGUUUCUUAAACUGCCAAAAAUUAUUUUUUUGGUUUAUUUCUCUUGAGAACAGGGACUGACCUAUAAUCUCUCCAUAGAUUGUGCUUAAAUUUAUUCAACAACUCACACUUGAUCUAAUUUUUGCAUCAUAUAUUACACUCAAUUAUGGAUAAGAGUUGAGAGUCUGCUGCUCCAAUGAUCACAGCUCCCUUUUCCUUCACAUCCAACAGAUAAGCUAAAGCUUCCAUGCUAAUAACCUCACUGGGGUUUAAUAGUGGAAUACCCAGUGGGAAUGGACAGAUAGCCUCUUCACACAUCUCUCCAAGGCUUUCUUCAAUUACCAUCCUCUUCUUCACAAAGAAGGCUUUCCCUUGGCUCAAUCUCAUACUGAUAUCAGUGAAGGGUGUCGAAACACCAUCACUUAGAUGGCAUCACAAUCCAUUUUCACUAAUGCAUGUUGUUAACGAAUAUCUUAUUCUUGAGAUCAACCAUUCAAUAUGUUCUCUAGAAGUCAUCAAGUUUUUACCAAUGUUAAUGAGCGACUCCCUACCAGCUUACAGAUUACUCCUUGUUCCUUGCAUAGCAUAUUAUUUGCUCUGUAACCUAACUGGCCUAACUAUGAGACACCGAUAUUGAGAUGAAAGGGAUCAAUUGUAGGAAAACCAGAGUCAAAGCCACUCAAGUCUAGCACCUAGACUCUCAGGAUCUCUCUUAUUUUGAGUCCUUACAUCCAGUGCCAAAUUCAUGGCUUGACUGAAAUUUGUAUCUAGGUUUUCACUCAAUUGAGCUCAUGUGGCAUCUAAGGGUGCUAGAAGAAGAUAGCUUGGCCUUGUGCUUUGAAAUGCUCAGAGACAUUUGCUCUUUCUUUAUCUAUAAAACAUCUUGACAUAGAGCAUCGAGGACUGAGAAAGAGACCAGAGAACCUUUUGUAUAGAUUGUACUGAGGUCAACAUAUUGCUCAAGUGCAGUCUUGUAUACAGAAAUGCCAUGGGAGUGGCACACCUAUGUGAUCUCACUAAUGUUGCUGCAUGUGCCUUGGAAAGUUGAUGAAAUGAUCAGAACUAUAGCUGCUUGCUUACCAACUUGCUCCAAUUCCACUAUUGUCUUCUCUACCUAGGAUGAAGUGACUCCAUCAAGGAUAUCUGAACACAAGUUGUGCUAUGAAAUUAUGUACUUCAGUAUUGCACCCAAGAAGAUCAUAGCUUGUGUUGCAGGAAAUAUGUACAAUCCAUGACAAAAUUUGCAUGAAACCAAAGGAGCAAAUUGCCAUGAUUUCUACUUGAAUGCCACUAGUGGUGCCUUUGACAUGAAACCAUAACUUAAAGAAACCAAAUAGUUUUGCUGAUUAUUUUUGGGCUUCUAAGAUUACUCCCUUAGGAGAGAAGUUAGCAGUGAUAGGUAAUGGAGUUAAAUGAAGUGGAAAUAUUUCUUCGCCGCUAAGUUGGGAUAAUAUGGUUUGAGCAGCUUUGCCUCGAUUAUGUUCAGAAAAAUGAAAAUAGGUUGCAUCUCAUUCUACAAAGGCCUUCGGAGCAGACACUAGAGAGGGAUGACCCUCAGAAAGAGUAGCCUCCUUGACAAUAAUCAAAGCAAUUGCAUCAGAUGUUCUUAAUUUGGUUGCUUAAUGAGGUAUUCACUUGUUGCUUUAUGGGUGCUGGGCUAGUUUUCUUUUAGACAUUAAAAUUUGGUGUAAACCAGCUGCAAGUAUUUCAAGACUUAAUCAUUAUAUAUAUUUGUUGUCAUGCAUGCAUUAUCUAUACGCUCUUAAGAUAUAGAUAUUUGUAAUAUUUGUAAUAUUUGAAAGUGUUCUUGUAGUUUAUUAUUGUAAAAUAAAAGUAAUGGAAACAUUUGGCAUGUUGUCUUAGUUUCAAAAUAUUUGAUAUAAGGAAUAAUUUUUUGAAUGAAAAAGAAUUAUUUGAUAUAAACAAUAAUGAUGGCAAUUGGUCAACUUUGAGUACUUAUAAGAAAAUAAAAGCAGAUUGCAUCUUGUUCUAUGAAAGCUUUCAGGGCAAACACCAGAGGGGCAUUGCCCUUAGAAAGUGUGGCCUCCUUGAUAGUAAUCAAAGCAGUUACAUCAGAGGUUCUUAAUUUAGUUGCUUAAUGAGGUAUUCACUUGCUUCUUUAUAGGUGCUGGGCUAGUUUUUUAAACAUUGAGAUCUAGUAUAAACCAGUUGCAAAUCUUUCAAGACUUAAUCAUUAUACACGUUUGAUGUUAUGCAUGCAUUAUCUGUAUAUUCUUAUGAUGUAAAAUUUAUAGUAUUUGAAAGUGUUCUUGUUGUUUAUUAUUAAAAAAUAAAAGUAAUAAAAAUAUUUGAAAGGUUAUCAUAGUUUCAAAAUAUUUUAUAUAGAGAAUAAUGGUGGCAGUUGGCUAACUUUGAGUACUACUUUUUUUUUUGAGUUGAGCGGAGGAAGUAAGAUACUUCUACCAUGUAUAUUAAUAAGUAAGGAGUACAAGUGAGAAGGAGAGACUUGUAAAGAUCUCACCUAUACAAAUGAAAGAUCGACAUUAGAGAGGGUGAGACAAAAUUCGUAAUAGACCUAAUACUGGGACUAUACAGUUGUAUGCUAACUCUAAAACUAAUAUAGUCGGACUAUUUUGAGUAUUUGGACUAGUUUGAGAGGGCAGAAGAUGUGCCAUUGAACAAACUACGAGAUUCAGCAAAUUCUGAAUAAAGGACUCAAGCUACAGUCUACAGACUUUAGGUUUCGAUCAAAAUACUCAUCAACACAUUAGCAUUUUAACAUCCUUUUGAACAAAAAAUUUGAACCAAAAUAUCAUUACGAUCUCAUCCCAGUGUGUGAACCAAAAUUAACAGGGUGGCUGCACCUCUUCAAAAUCUGUUAAAACUAUUCGAAACAAGUAAGAGUUGAUCUGAAAAGGCAAUCCGUCAUAACUUGUUUUUGCUAAUUUGAAGACUUGCAGAUUUCUGAUAUAACUUGUAGUAUUCUGUCGAGAACCUAAGAUAACCUGACAACUAUGCUGAAGGAUGAGCAAUAGGUGGGGAGGAUAGGGGAGUUUCUUUUCCGGCACCUAAUCAAGGAUAAGUUUGUAUGAGUGGGGGAGGAAGAUCAAGCAGACCAUGCACAAGUGAGAAGGGGGGGAAGGCUAAUUUGCUUUCAAAUGUUAACGCCCAAGUUGGCAUGAAGAUUUUUCCUUAGUUCUAUGAAGUCGUCUUCCGUAAUAUGUGAUGUCCAGCUAUCGAAAAAGAAGAUGAUUUGCUUAGAGAGCUCAGAGGUAGAAAGAGCUUCAAACAUAAAUACCCUGCAGUUCCUUUCUAACCAAAUACUCCACCAGCAGACGGCUAGGAGAGAGUCGAAGGCUUUGGACACUACAUUUCAAUAGACCCGACCUCCAAUCUCCCCAGAAAUUGAACAAUCCAGAGAGAAGAUGAUAGCUGUUUAUACACGAAAGUAAAUGGGUCCAAACAGAGUAAGAGUAAACACAUGAAACGAGUAAAUGAUCAGUUGUUUCAGAGUGGUUGGCACAUAGAGGGCAUGAGCUUGGAGCACGAAUUCCUUUCUUAGCUAAGAUGUCAAUAGUUAAAAUCUUAUUUUAGAAGCCUAACCUGCUAAAGACUUUAAUUUUUCUAAGAUAGGCAGCUGCCAUAUAAUCAAUCCAAUUUGAGAUCUCAUGCCACUAUCCUUGAGGAAUCUAUAGCAGCUUCUGAUCGAGAACCUCUUGCUGGAACUCCAUUUCCAAAUCCUACCAUCUCUUCCACUAGAGAGUUGAGUUGAAAGAUGGAUUAUGGUUAGGAGGCAAAUCUCGUUUUGAGCUGACAAAGGCAGAGCAGAAGCAAAAUUAUUCGUAAUAUCUCUAUGACUGAAAAACUCCAAAAUACUAUGAGACUGUUUGAUGGCAAAUAGGAAAAGGUGCGGUAGCAAUAGUCUUAACGGUAUGCCUUGAGUUCAUGUAUCAUACCAAAAUGCAGUCUGCUCUCCAUCUCUGACCGAGGCCAUAGUAAAAUCUUGAAACUGCUUGAAGUACUUCAAAAUACCUUUCAUAAAAGGCGAAGCUACUCGAAGGUAAGUAGAAAAUGGCUCCAUUGGGGGGUUUUUCUCAUAGUAAAUUUGUUGAACCAAAUUUUGCUAGGUAGAACCUUGGUCAUUGAAAUAUUUCCACCAUCACUUAAUAAGAAGUACCCGAUUGGCAAUUAAGAGAUCCAUUGCUCCUAAUCCACCAAUAUUUUUCGGUUGGCAAAUCUGGUCCCAAGCCACCAAGUGUUUGACUUUGCUAGCACCCUCAUGACCUCCCCAUAAAAAAUUCCUACAAACUCGAUCAAUCUGCUUAAUGACUAUUUUCAAGAGAUGGAGAAUGGACAUUCAAUAUAGAGGUAAAGCAUUUAAAAUUAAAUUGAUCAGUGUGAGCCGUCCAGCAAGGGAUAGUGAGUUAUGUUUCCAACCAGCUAGUUUUUUUUCUACUUUCUCAAUCAAAAAAAUACCAAUCUCUCUUCCUAAAAGAUGAGAAAUGCAAUAGGAUACCAAGGUAGAUGAGCGGCAAUUCAGAAGGUUGACAGCCUAAAAUUCUUGCAUAGCCACUAACCUUCUCAGAGGAUAGGCCGAUCCCUAUCAACUUAGUUUUCUCAAAGUUUAUCUUGAGUCUAGUCAUCAAUUCGAAGGAGUAGAGUAUAAGUUUCAGAAUUUUGAUUUGAUCCUUAGAAGCUUCACUAAAAACUAUCAUGUCAUCAGCAAACUACAAACACCGAAUAUUCUUUGCUACAUCCAAACGACCAAUGCCUGAAAGUAAUCCUUCAGAAGUAGCUUUUUCUAACAUUCUGCUUAGAACAUCUGCUACUAGGAUACAAAACAUGGGCGAUAAGGGAUCACCUUGUUUCAAAUCAUUUCUGUUAUGAAACCAUCGUCCAAGUUCCCCAUUAAUCAGAAGUGCUGAGUUAGAGGAUUGAAGAAGAGAUGAGAUCCAAGAAAUCCAUUUGUCACCAAACCCUCUCAUCUUUAGCAGCUGAAAUAAGAAAUGCCAAGAAACAUUAUCACAAGCCUUUUCAAAGUCCAGUUUACAGACAAUACCUUUUAAGGAAGUUUUUUUACAGUGAGAAAUAAUCUCAGUGGCUGAAAUAAAGCUCUCAAGGAUAUAGCGACCUCUAAUGAAUGCCGUUUGGUUGUUGGAAACCAAAGAGUUAAUGACCUCAGAUAGUCCUCGAGAAAGAACCUUAGAGAUCAAUUUCAUGACCCCAUUCUCGACACUAAUCGGGGGGUAGUCACGGACAGUGAGACAAUCAUCUUUCUUCGGAAUUAGAGAGAUGUACGUGUGAUUCAACCUAGACAAGUCUACCUUUGAGCAGUAGAAUUCAUUGAAAAUCUUCAAUAUAUCCCCCUUAAUGGAGUUCCAAAAAUGUUAGUAAAAAGAAAUUGGAAAUCCUUCAGGUCUAGGGGCCUUGUCACUUCCCAAACUAAAGAGAGCAGCUCUUAUUUCCUCCUCCGUGAAGGGACCUUCGAGAUAUGAAAGGUCUGGUCCGGGGCCAAGGUAUAGUUUACUCCAUACUGCUUCCAUCUGUGGCAUUGUUUCAGAGCCUAGAAUAGACCUAUAAUAUUAAUAGAAAGCUUUAUGAAUUCCAUUGUGUUGUUACAACUCUUCUAUUACUAUUAACUUUCAUGAUCAGAUUUUUUCUUCUCCUAAUACCAGCCCUGAGAUGGAAAAAUUUCGUGUUUCGAUCUCCUUCAUGUAGCCAUUGCACACAUGACCUUUGCUUCUAGAAGAUCUCCUCCUGAUUUAUAACAGUUCCAAUUGCUGCUUCAUAGUUUGUCUCUCAAUUCACUAUUCAGCGGAUAGACUUCUAAUUUCUUCAAUCGAGUCUAAUUCAUCAAUUCUAGAUGAAACUUCUCUUUUCUUCAGAAAUAUAUUCAGGUUGAGAUCCUUGUUCCAACUUCAUAGCUUCUACCUUAGCAAUUUGAGUUUGCCUACUAGAGAUCGCACUGGUUCGUUUUUGCUGGGGGCAUUCAACCACCACUGCCUAACCAAAUCAUCGAAACCCUGAUGUUUUAGCCAAUGGUUUUCAAAUCUAAAAGGUCUGUAUCGAGAACGAUGAAGAUCCUCAUGAGGUUUGAAUAGGAGCAGUAGAGGAGUAUGGUCCGAGGUGAUUUGAGCUAAAGGGACCAAGGAAGAAAGAGGAUAGAAAUCGUGCCACUCUAAGGUUGAAAAACAUUGGUCUAGUUUGGCCAAGCAUGCAUUUUUCCUGCAGUUGGUCCACGUGAAAUGCCUGCUUGCUAAGUUGAGUUCCAAAAGGUCGAUGUCAUUAAUAAAGUGGUUGAACUCCCUAGAAGCCGAGAGACUACUUGACACUCCAAUCCUCUCUAAAGUGAAUCUGGUGAUGUUGAAGUCACCCACAACUAGCCAAGGGCCAAGAUAUUGCAAUCUGAUAGAUCUCAAUUCCUCAAAAAGUGUCUUUCUGCUGAGUUGAUCAUAAGGACCGUAAACAUUAGUAAUCAGCCAAGAAAAACUAUCAACUUUGGACGUAAAGUGGAUGGUUAAGGAAAAACACCUAUAGAUAAGAGUGAGCCCUCUAGUUCAGCACUGCACCAAUCGGUUAAGAGACCACCAGAGAAAUUUACAGCAUCUUUGGAGUGCCAAUUAUCAAUUAUAGCCCCCAAGAUUGUCUUUAGAAGCUUGGAGUUACAUGGUUUAAUUUAGUCUCCUAAAGGCAAAUAACGUUGCUUUUAGAAUUUUGGAUGGUCUCUCUGAUCAACUUUCUUUUAGAAAUGAGGCCCAAUCCUCUUACAUUCAACAUAGUAGCGAUAUUAGAUAAUAUCAGCAAGCCAAUCAGAGGGAAGGUAAGGAAAGAAGCUAAAAUCAAUAGCGACACCUGUACCAAAAGGAUCGUGACUACCGCAAAGUAACCAGCCAACGAAGCACCUAUCAAUAGAUCCAACAAGCAAUACCCAAGAGCAAAAGAACCAACUAGAGUGAUGCAAGCAAGAAAGCAGUAUAAGAGAGUAGAUGAUGUCAAUAAUGUAGCAAAAGCCAUGACUCCCAGCCAAUCCCAAUUGAUUAACUCGACACUACAUCAUCAAUAAUCUUGCAACGUAGCUACUCCAAGGAUUUGAGCUUAGAGGUAGUAGCAUCUAGAUUUUUGGUAAGGAUGUCAGCACCACACUUACGAGUGAGUUUGAGCAGUUCACCGGCCGUCAAUGAGUUUAUGAAUAGGAUCUCCUCCUCUGAUAGGGAGAGACCCUCCAUACCAAGAGCUCGAACCUUCUUAGAGUGAAGUCUGGGACUUCGCUUCAAGAGUUUGGGAGUCAGAGAAAGUGAGAAUGGGCUUAGAGAAAUCAGGUUUUCCUUCAGGAUAGAGAAGGCCUUCGCAACAGGAACUUUGAGUACUUCUUACAACUAAAUCAAAGAAUGCUACAUCUCAUUCUACACAAGCCUUCAAAGUAGAUACUAGAGGAAUAUUAUCCUCAAGAAGUGUAGCCUCCUUGAUAAUUUUCAACAUAGUUACAUUAGAGGUUCUUUCUUUGGUUGCCAGUGAUGUAUUCACUUGCUUCUUUGUGGGUGUUGGGCUAGUUUUCUUUUAGACAUUAAGAUGUAGUAUAAACUGGCUACAAAUCUUUCAAGACUUAAUUAUUGUAUAUAUUUGUAGCUAUACAUGCAUUAUUUGUAUGUCCUUAUGGUGUAGAAAUUUAUAGUAUUUGAAAGUAUUAUUGUAGUUUAUUAUUAUAAAAUAAAAGAAAUAAAAAUAUUUUGAAGGUUGUCUUAGUUUCAGGAUAUUUGAUGUAAAGCAUAAUGGUGAUGGUUGGUCAAUUUUGAGUAUUUCUUACAGGAAAAUGGGAAUAGGCUGUAUCUCAUUCUAUAAAAGCCUUCAAAAUGGAUAUUAGAGGGGCAUUACCCUCAAGAAGGGCAACCUCCUUGAUAGUAAUCAACGUAAUUGCAUCAGAGGUUCUUAAUUUGGUUGCUUAAUGAGGAAAAUGAAAGCAAGCUGCAUCUUGUUCUACAAAAACUUUCAAAGCGGACACUAGAGGGGCAUUACCCUUAGGAAGCGUAUCCUCCUUGGCAAUAAGCAAAGCAGUUGCAUCAGAGGUUCUUAAUUUAGUUGCUCAAUGAGAAAAAUGAGAGCAGGUUGUAUCUCAUUCUACAAAAGCCUUCAGAGCAAACACUAGAGGGGCAUUACCCUCAAGAAGGGCAGCCUCCUUGACAAUAAUCAACGUGAUUGCAUCAGAGGUUCUUAAUUUGUUUGCUCAAUAAGAUCUUCACUUACUUCUUUUUGGGUGUUUGGUUAUUUUCUUUUAGACAUUGCGAUCUAAUAUAAACCAACUACAAAUGCUUCAAGAUUUAAUCAUUAUAUACAUUUGUUGUUAUGCAUGCAUAUUUGUAUAUUCUUAUGGUGUAGAAAUUUGUAGUAUCUGAAAAGUAAAAGUAAUAGAAAUAUUUAGAAGGUUGUUUUAUUGUCAGAAUAUUUGAUAUAAAGAAUAAUGGUAGUGGUUGGUCAACCUUGAGUUUUUCUUGCUAUCUUGAGGUAAUAACAAAAGUCAAUGGAAGAAGCUGGAUUUUGGAAGGGCAAUUCACAAAAACAUCAGUUACUCUGAGCAUAUGGCCCAUGAUCUUCUUAGAUUGAAGAUAAGAUGAAUAAGAUGAAUGUUAACAAGACCAUGUUUUUAAUUUGAAGAUGCAUGGAUGUGAAAAGAUGGAUAGGUCAAUCGCGUACACUUAAUGCUCUCACUUGGUUGGGUUGGUUGUACUGACAAAAAUUGGUCCUUCAGGCAUCAAGUAGACUUAAACAGAUCAAAUUUACUUGCUUCUUCAAAUGUUAUCACACCUAUUUUAGAUUGAGUUCGUAGCUUUGCAAUUUUGGGGUUUUGACUGUCAAAUUUGUUUUCUUUUCCCUGUUUAGGUUAUGGUAAAACUAAUCCAGGCUGGUUAAUGAUAUCUUUGCAUUUUAACUGCAUUUUGUGGUUUGGGCAGAAUGUCUUAAAACUCCUUCACUGUUCAAUUUAGUUUACCAGAGUGUGUAUGUUACCUUCAAUUCUUUGCCAUAAAAGGAAAAAAGAAGAGGAGAAGGAAGAAUGAACAGGGAAAUGAAAAGAACCCGUAAACCAAGUUGUUUCUUUUCCAAUGAUUCUACAACAAGAAGUAAUUAAAUUUUAAAAUAUCUGCCGUUACAAUGCAAACUUUAAGAUUCGGACACACCAUCACAUCAUUCGAGAUUGAAUUUUUUUUUUUUUUUUUGCAAUCUUAUGUCCUAAAAGUCUUGAUUCUAUUUCUUUUUAUAACUUUUCCUUUUUACAGUACAAAAAUCCAAAUAAGGCGCUCUUUUUCAAAAAGGAGCAUAACUUGGCAUGGAUUCAAUCCGAACUCACUCGCCAGUCUGUUUGCCGGGCAGAGUUGGGUAAAGAUUUUAUAAAUUUGGUUUAGGAAGUGACUCAAAACUUGGAACAUCAUCUCAGGUAGGAUUAGGUUAGAAUUGACCUUCAAACCCAACUCAAACUCGAUCCUACCUCGAUCAAACCUGGCUCAACUGAAACCUAUCGCCCAAUAUAUAAAUAAAUAAAUAAUUCAUAAUUAUGUUUCAUAUAGAUUAUUUGUCUUAUAAUUAUAUUCUUUAUCUUGUUAUGUAAUUGUAUUCUUUGGCAAGCAUUAAUUUAACAAAAAUGUUCCAAGCAUUUACCUUAAAUUUUUUAUUUACCUUGAUUUAAUCUAAAUUGCACGAUCCAAUUCAACAUGACCAAUCCAACAAGGAAUGGUAGCUAGGUGGGUUUCUCUGAUUAUCUGAUCCAUUCUGAAUCUAUUAGGGCCCGAAACCCUAUAGGAUUUGUGAUAUGACCCUUAGAUACCUUUAUAUAUAUAUAUAUAUAGAGAGAGAGAGAGAGAGAGUAGAUAUAUAUUUUGCAUCUAAGACUUGAAUCUCGGACCGAAGCAUAUCUAAAGUCAACGUGCCUUUAUCAUUAUGCUAUAAAAUAUAACUAGCUUAUAAUCCCGUGCGAUGCAUAGGAUGUAAUUUUUUUAAAAAAAUAUUUUAUUUUAUUUAUCUAUUCUAUUAUAUCUAUUUUAUACUCAAAGAAGGCAGAGGAGAAAAAAAGCAGAGAAGACAGCAUUUGAUGUCAAAUUGGAGAAGUUUGAUGCUGCUACAAAGAUCAAGGUGAUCAAAGAGGUUAGGACAUUCACCAAUCUCGGGUUGAAGGGGGCGAAGGAUUUAGUAGAGAAGGUACCAGUUUUGUUGAAGCAAGGUGUCACCAAGGAGGAGGCCAAUGACAUCAUAGAGAAGAUAAAGGCGGUGGGUGGUGUUGCUGUAAUGGAGUAAAGGCCUAUUUAUUGAGCCGAAUUCCACAAUGGAUGAGUUUAACAUUCUUUUGGUGUCAAAGUUUGAAUAUAUGCAUAAAUUCAUGUCAAAGCCAUAAGUAGUACAUUCAGACCUUUCCAGACAUGUAUCAUAUUGAUAUGCAUGUGUUUUGGGUAGGGAAAGAAGCCUUUCAUGUUGCAAGAGGUGUUUUGAGGCCAUUGCUCUUGUGAGACGGGUUUGUUGGUAGCUUUCAGUUGAAGGGCGCUGGCUAAGAGGCUGAUUAGUCUGCAAUGAUUUUCUAAGCAUGGUCAUUUGGGGAGCCCUCGGACUUGGGUUCCCGAUAAAACUCAACAAGAAGCAUCUCUGAGCCUAGCUUUGAUUUCUUCUUUUUGAGAGUAAUAGUGGGAGCAUCACGACCUGUAAUGACCUGUGUGGGUGUAUAUUUAUUCCCAUGAUUAUGCAUCGAUGUAUCUUGGAUAUAAGCCAAUUAAAAUUUUGGAUGAGAUCCUGCGUUAUUAUGAAUGAUAUCAAAAUGGAUCUAACCAUAGUUCAUGUGGACAA